rnacentral:rRNA from 1 species
UACGUAGGCAGCAAGCGUUGUCCGGAAUUAUUGGGCGUAAAGAGCUCGUAGGUGGCUUGUCGCGUCUGCCGUGAAAGCCCGUGGCUUAACUACGGGUCUGCGGUGGAUACGGGCAGGCUAGAGGCUGGUAGGGGCAAGCGGAAUUCCUGGUGUAGCGGUGAAAUGCGCAGAUAUCAGGAGGAACACCGGUGGCGAAGGCGGCUUGCUGGGCCAGUUCUGACGCUGAGGAGCGAAAGCGUGGGGAGCGAACAGG